UACGUAGGGGGCUAGCGUUGUCCGGAAUCACUGGGCGUAAAGGGCGCGUAGGCGGCGCGGGCAGUCAACGGUGAAAGCUUGGGGCUCAACCCCGAGUCGGCCGUCGAUACUCCCGUGCUUGAGCACUGUAGAGGCAGGUGGAAUUCCGGGUGUAGCGGUGGAAUGCGUAGAGAUCCGGAAGAACACCGGUGGCGAAGGCGGCCUGCUGGGCAGUAGCUGACGCUGAGGCGCGACAGCGUGGGGAGCAAACAGG
rnacentral:rRNA from 1 species